UCCCCGGAGGACUAGUGGUUAGGCCACAGCCCUUUUGUCGCUGCAGCCAGGGUUUGAUUCCCAGCCAGGGAA